UAAUACGUAGGGUGCGAGCGUUAAUCGGAAUUACUGGGCGUAAAGGGUGCGCAGGCGGCUUUGUAAGUCAGAUGUGAAAUCCCCGGGCUUAACCUGGGAAUUGCGUUUGAAACUACAGAGCUAGAGUGUAGCAGAGGGAGGUGGAAUUCCAUGUGUAGCAGUGAAAUGCGUAGAGAUAUGGAAGAACAUCGAUGGCGAAGGCAGCCUCCUGGGUUAACACUGACGCUCAUGCACGAAAGCGUGGGGAGCAAACAGGAUUAGAUACCCUGGUAGUCC
rnacentral:rRNA from 1 species